GGCGAGAUAGCUCAGUUGGUAGAGCAGUGGCUUGAAGAGCCUCGUGUCCUCGGUUCAAUUCCGAGUCUCGCCACCA
rnacentral:tRNA from 1 species